AUACUUACCUGGCAGGGGUGAUUCCAUGAUCACGAAGGUGGUUUCCCCAGGGCUAGGCUUCUCCAUUGCACUCCGGAUGUGCUGACCCCUGCGAUUUCCCCAAAUGCGGGAAACUCGACUGCAUAAUUUGUGUUAGUGGGGGACUGCGUUCGCGCUCUCCCCUC
rnacentral:snRNA from 1 species